GCUUGGUUUUUGGCAGGAUGCUCCAUUGCUGGCAUUGCCUCACAGUGCUUCCCUUCUCUCAGGGUCACCCUUCUAUAGAGUCACAAAGGGGUGACAGCUGUGACAAACCCAUACAACUUUAAAAGAAGAAUCCUCUCCCAUCUGCCUUCAGAGACGUGUCCAAUCUGUGCACAAUAGGACACUCUCUCUGACCACUUCUUGAUAAAGGAUCUUGGGAAAUGAGCCACGUUAGAAGAAAGAUGCUGAAAUAGUCCCAUGCUGCUGCAGCGGGGCAGCACCAACCCAGCACCAGCUGGAGCAACUGGUUUAAGUACGCUGCUGGUAAGACCGCAUGUACUCACACCAGAGGGAGCACAAAUCAUAAGGAGGAUGGAUCCUCAUGCUUCAAGGCUGAGCUCAGAGCAGAGGUUGCUUUUAUAAUUACACUGCAAAUCAGCUCGAAAAGAAUCCUGAAGAACAGAAAUAAACUCCUAAACUCAGAUCUCCUCUAUAAGACACAGCUGAUGUUACUGGCUGUCCUUGUGCCCUUCUGCCACGCAAGCUGGAUUUACAGGUUAGUAUUCUAAGCACGUGCU